GCCACAGCAACAGUUGUUGUGGUGCCCACUGACUCCAGUCAUGGACAUGGGCCAUGUUUUAUUCCUAGAAGUGUUUCUACAUCUGAGUUUGUCAUUCUUUUUCAAAAAAAAAAGUAUGUUUUUGUUGCUCUUGCUAAAAAUGUAGCUAAAAUUUAGAUUUUUUUUAAAUGGGAUUUUUGGCAGAGAUCAAGUAUAGAAAAGUUAAACAAAACAGAUUUUUUAAAGAGCAUUAUGGGCCUUGAAAUCAAGGUCUUCAGAUGAUUGAAGCUGUUUACAAAAUCAGUGAGAGAUAUCAUAUGUGCAUUUACAGUUCUCUAAGCUGUAUCAUUAAACAAGUGUAAGUUAACUAACCUUCAGUCCACUGUUGUUUGUUUUUAAUCACAGCUGAGGAGCUGUUUAAGAAAACUCUUGGGAAAAGCAAACCAUUUCUUGAAGAGGGGAACAGGGAGUCCAAGAGCUAUCCGGUCUUGAAUAUGUCAGUGUGCCCUGAAUGUGCAGUCACAUUCUGAGAGACAUUCCAUAAGCGGAUAUCUUUUUAUACUACUUGAGGCACAGUGUCUGACAGAGAUUACUGUAUAACCUGAAGUAUCGGUGUAAAAAGCAAGAAUGUAUACAUGGGAUUUCAUCCAGAGCACUCAGCCAAAAGAAAUACUGAACCACUGCUAAAUCAUCCUAAUGAGAUGUGGAACAUCUUCCAGACAGCUUGGCCAGGAACUUUUGAAACAUCUGCUGUUCUCUCUUCUCCCAUCUUCACCUUCCUGUCAUCCAGCCUGUGAUGGGUAUAAUGAUGGGGAAGCAAAAGCGGACCUCUUGCUUCCAGGACUGCAGCCUCUGGAUGAAACAAUGCACAGUCUUGAUAUCAAAAGUCAAGUUUUAUACUCAGAAGACCAUGCCAUUCAGACAUUCUCAGCCUCUUGCAGACAAGUCAAAGGCCACCUACAAAACUUGACAAUUGGCUGUGUGUUAAGACACGUCAUAAAUCUGCUGAGCUUUGAUAUUUGCAGGACAUAA
ensembl:lncRNA